AGUGAACGCUGGCGGUAGGCCUAACACAUGCCAGUCGAACGGCGGCACAGUAAGAGCUUGCUCUUACGGGUGGCGAGUGGCGGACGGGUGAGGAAUACAUCGGAAUCUACUUUUUCGUGGGGGAUAACGUAGGGAAACUUACGCUAAUACCGCAUACGACCUACGGGUGAAAGCAGGGGAUCUUCGGACCUUGCGCGAUUGAAUGAGCCGAUGUCGGAUUAGCUAGUUGGCGGGGUAAAGGCCCACCAAGGCGACGAUCCGUAGCUGGUCUGAGAGGAUGAUCAGCCACACUGGAACUGGGACACGGUCCAGACUCCUACGUGAGGCAGCAGUGUGGAAUAUUGGACAAGGGGCGCAAGCCUGAUCCAGCCAUACCGCGUGGGUGAAGAAGGCCUUCGGGUUGUAAAGCCCUUUUGUUGGGAAAGAAAAGCAGCAGGUUAAUACCACGCUGUUCUGACGGUACCCAAAGAAUAAGCACCGGCUAACUUCGUG
rnacentral:rRNA from 1 species